rnacentral:lncRNA from 1 species
UUGUCUUCAAAGUGCCUUUUCUGUUUGAUUUGACUUCCUUGGGCUAAUUCUUCCCUUUCAGUCUAGAAGUAUUUUCCACUGAAUGUGGAGAUUGAUCAAGAAUACUUCACUUGUGUUUGCUGCCAUUCAGUAUCAUCACAGAAUUUGUGGGGUUUUUAUGUGCAGAAGAGCAAGCUCUUACAGUGCUAUGCAACCUGCUCUGUUCAUUUCAAACUAUCAUCGUUUGGCUACUGUGCCCUAGUGACUGCUUGACCAACGUGUAAGCGGGCCCAUGGCAUCCUGACCAAUGGGCGUCAGUGUAAGCAGCCUAGGAAGCAUGGGUCAGCACUUACUGUCUUUGUGAAGUGCAGGAUUCCCAGUCAGGGAUGUCCAAAAGUCUGCCAUACUGAACUUUCAUGCUAAAGGGAUGUCAUUAUCUGGCUCAGCUUCUGACUGAGAUUCCAUGAAUAUUUGAAUAGAUGAAUAUUUUGUGUGGCUCUUAUAGAAGAAGGCACUUGGGGACAAUCCAAAUACUGUUCUCUCCUUCAUCACAGGAUGGCUUCAAAGAAUCCUUUCCCCUUUCUCCUGGCCAGCUAGGUUUGCAGUGAGAAAAAACCUGUUCAGACUUUGUGCCAACACUUCUGGAAUAUGUGACACUUCAUUUGUUUUCUAGAGCACAGAAGUUUGAAAGUAAUUUCCUGUUUGUGCUUUUGACAGUGACAUAUGUCAGUGGAGUCAGGUAGAUCUGAGUUGCAGUAUUGACUGCUCUGUGACAUUAGGGCAACCUGAUUUUACCAUCCAAUCGAGGUUCAAUCAUACCUGUUUUAUGGUAGGGUUGUCAGAAUUGACUCUGAGAUGUGUACAUGAAUCACAGUCCGUGUUCAACAAAUGUUUGCCAUCCUCACCACUUGAGCAUCCCUUAAGGUGUUUUUCUCUGGAGAGUGAUCUGAAACAAAAAACAUUUUUCAACUCAUUUCCCACUGAUCUCAAAAGCCAGGUAUUAGAUGUCAUCACACUGUCUGGUCUGGUCUACCAUGCAUGCCUCCUGUCACCUCCAGUGACAGGAAACUCAGCAACUCUAGAACAGUGUUUUUCAACCAUGGGAAUAAUGACAUUUGAGAUAGGUCGUUCAUUGUGGUGGAGGGUUGUUCUCUGAAUUGAAUGAUGUUAGCACCAAACUUGGCUAGGGGGACAAAAUCAUCCACAAUUGAGAACCACUGCUCUAGAGACAGCAUAUCCUCUUUGUUUCUUUUUUUAAAAAUGAGGUCAUCAUGGGUUAUAACAUCGUGUAAUUUCAAGUGUACAUGAUUGCUUCUCAGUUUCCCUGGAGACUGCAUCGUGCUCGCCCGCAACAGUCUAAUUUUUAUCCAUCACCAUAUAUAUGUGCCCCUUUACACCUUAUGCUCACCCCCUAACCCCAUUCCCUUCUGGUACCCACUAAUCUGUUCGCUUUACCCAUCUGUUUAUCUUCCACAUAUGGAUGAAACCUUGGGAUAUUUGUCUUUCUCUUUCUGUCUUAUUUUCACUUAACGUCACACCCUCACACUCCAUCCAUAUUGUUUAAAAUGGGACAAUUUUGUCUUUUUUAAUGGCUGAGUAGUAUUCUGUUUUAUAUAUGUACCAUAUCUUCUUUAGCCAUUCCUCAGUUGAAGCACAGUGGGUUGCUUCCACAUAUUGACUAUUGUGAAGAAUGCUGCAAUGAACACAGGGGUGUGUAAAUCUCUUUGAGUUGUCGUUUUCCAUUUCUUUGAAUACGUACCCAGUAGUGGGAUAGCUGGAUGGUAUAGUAUUUCAGAUUUUAAUUUUUCGAGAAAUCUCCACCUGUUUUCUAUUUACAUUGCCACCGGCAGUCUAGUAGGGUUCCCUUUUCUCCACAUCCUCUCCAACAUUUGUUAUUUUUUGUCUUCAUCAUUAUAGCCACUCUGACAGGUGUCAGGAGAUAGCUCAUUGUAUUUUUGACUUGCACUUCCCUCAUAAUUAGCAAUGUCGUGCAUCUUUUCAUGUGCCUGCUGGCCUUCUGUAUAUCUUCCUUGGAAAAACGUCCUUUCAUAUCCUCUGCCCAUUUUCCAAUCUGGUUGUUUCUGUUUUGUCGUUGAGUUCUUUUUAUAUUUUGGAAAUUAAUGCCUUGUCAGAUAUAUGAUUUUCAGAUAUUUUCUCCCAGUUGUUGGGCUGUUUUUUUGUGUUGUUCAUGGUUUCCUUUGCCUUGCAGAAGAUUUUUAGUUUGAUGUAGUCCCACGUGUUUAUUUGUUCUUUCAUUUCCCAUGCCUGUGCUGGCAUGGUAUUCAAAAAGAUGUUUCCCAGACCAAUGUCAAACAGUGUACUGGAAAUGUUUUCUUCUAGGAGUUUUAUGAUUUCAGGUCUUACCUUCAAGUGUAAUAAUCCAUUUUGAGGUAAUUUUUGUGUACAGUGUAAGGUAAGGGUCUAUUUUCAUUCUUUUGCUUGUGGGUGUCCAGUUUUGCCAACACUGUUUUUUGAAAAGACUUUCCUUUCUCCAUUGUAUGCUCUUGCCUCCUUUGUCAAAGAGUAGCUGUCCACAGAUGUGUGGUUUUAUGCCUGGGCUUUCAGUUCUGUUCCAUGGAUUUGGGUGUCUGUUUUUGUGCCAGUACCAUGCUGUUCUGAUUCCUAGAGCUUUGUAGUAUAUUUUGAAGUCAGGGAUUGUGAAGUCUCCAGCUUCGUUCUUUUUUCUCAGGAUUGUUUCGUCUAUUCUGGGUCUUUUGCUGCUCCAUAUAUACUUAGGAUUCUUUGUUCUAUUUCUGUGAAGAAUGUCACUGGGAUUCUGAUUGAGAUUCCAUUGACUCUGUAGAUUGCUGUAGGUAAUAUGAAUAUUUUAACUUUUUAUUGUUCCAAUCCAUGCGCAUGGAAUAUCUUUCCAUUUCUUUAUAUCUUCUUCAGUCUCUUUGUGUAAUAUCUUAUAGUUCUCAGUGUAUAGGUCUUUCACCUCUUUGGUAAGAUUUAGUCCUAGGUAUUUAAUUCUUUUGUUGCAAUUGUAAAUGAGAUUCUAUUCUUGACUUGACUUUCUGCCAGUUUGUUUUUAGUGUAUAGAAAUGCAACUGAUUUUUGUAAGUUGAUUUUUUUACUGUGAAACUUUUCUGUAGUUGUGGAUUCUUUCUAAUAGUUUUCAGAUGAAUUCCUUAGGGUUUUCUAUAUGUAGAAUCAUGUCAUCUGCAAACAGUGAGAGUUUCACUUCCUCCUUUCCAAUUUGGAUACAUUUUACUUCUUUUUCUUGGAAAAUUGCUGUAGUCAAAACCUCCAC